CACUGCACGCCGCUCGGCAGGGCAACCACAUGGGAGCAAGCAGCGCAGACCACUGUCAGAACACCACGCUCCCAUGCAGCACAGGGGUCGGUGCCGCUGAAGUGCAGGGUGGGUCAUCUUCGCCACUGCGGAGCAGCCCUGCCCCAUCACAGAAGCAAACAUGCCGUCCUGGUCAUCCCAUUCUCCAGGUGGCGCGCACCUGAGUGGUGGGAGUCACACAGUGGGGGUGGCAAGUCCCUUUUUUGUCUGGCAAGUAGGGUUUUCUAUAAUUUGUUGAGCCCUGAUAAUUAGCAUAUGCCAUACUGCCAGCCCCAGAUUUGAGCCCUCCAAAAUCAUGAGCUUGGCUGAUGAGUCAUGAGAUGCUUAAAAAAAAUAAGGAAGUUGUUCUUGUUUCUCAGCCUCCAGGGGGCACUCUGAUUUUCUCUACAACUGUGACGGCUAAAAAUGUUCAUUUAAAAAGACAGUAAUUUGAGUAUGACGAUAAGCACCACUCAUUCAUACCUUACAAACUCCUGAACAAUCUUUCUACAAAAUAUGCCUGAAACUAACAACUCGCUGAUCAUUAAUAUUCUUGGCUGACGUAUAGACACAGCAUGUAUUAAGAGUUAUGGCAAUAUACUGAAAUUAUUAAUAAAGUGUGUAUAAACCAAGCAUGUCAAGGAGAGUUAUCUGCCCUAGACAAUUGAAUGUGCAUUUGAUUCCCUGACCAUCCUGGUCUUCAGGCAAUGAAAGUCCAUUUUUACCUAUUAGGUAAACAGAGCUCAUAGCCAACAAAUUAGUGAAGAAAGGACUUGGCACAUCCUUGACCACCAGACUCCACGUUACCUUCCUCACAGCUGAAUACAUUUUACUUUGAGGGGAAAUCAUCAGAAAAAUCAAUUUUAAAAGUUUUACUGGUCUAUAAAGAUGGGGGUUCUGGUUCUGAAAUGAUAAGCAAUUGAACCAACUAGUUGCAUACAAUCGGUUAUAUUUAAAAAGUAUAGUAGUAGACUAUAGAGUGAGGUCUUUUCAGAAAUCCUAUGACACACGGGUAGUUAAUAUCACUGUGAAAUGUAGGUAUUAACACUAUAUGAGGAAAUAUGGAUUAAGUUUCUAGUCUGCAACCAACCAAGAGGAGAAACAGGAUUUCCCUCAGACUGGAGGGAAGUCUCUAGUGAAAUUAAGCAAGGAGUAACCAGAAAGAAUGGAAACUCCAUUUACACAGAAAUCAGAGGUGGGAUGGAACGCCCCACAAAGACAAAAACAGUAGGAGGUCAUCCUGCCUCUUGAAACAAGUUUGUUCAACUCAGAAGCCAUCUUUGGCAUCCAUCACUAGACAGACAAAGGAACAGAGCUCUUGCUAGCUGAGAAUGAUUAGUCCUGCAACCAAGAAGAAAGGAAGGCUGAUGCCUCCAGAAACUGAAUAUAGACAACAAUGGCAACUGCAUAUGGCCUCGAAGAAGCCAGGAAUAACAUCUGGAUCCCUCAGAGCUGGAGGAGUAAAGGAAUGGACAGGGUGGUACGUUCUGAUUCCAGAAGACAAAGCAAACAUAGCACCUCGAGGCGAGAGUUACGUCAGACUCCAAUGUGAAGGAAAGGAAUGCAAGAGCAUGCAGUAAAUUGUGCUUCCCACGGUGAGGACAAGGGGGUAACAAAGCGAGGGUCUGCAUGGGAAAUGUUUUCGCUUUCUGCUUUCUUUCCAGAACUCAGCUGCUCCGUAGGUAUCAUCCCUCUGGAGACGGUAAAGGAACAACCAACACGUGACAGUCACAUUGCCUACUGAACGCAAUGAGAACCAUUUUAUAUAGACUCACAGGAAGAGAUCAGGCUGCUUUCCACUCAAAACCCAUUCACAGCUCUAAUCCAUAUUGUGUAGCAUGCUGAGAGAGAGAAUGCCCUCAAGAGGGACUUGUUACAUAAAUAAAUACAUUUAGAAAACAAAACAGAUUCUGCCACUGAUUUCCUUCACCAAUGAACUUGUCUGUCACACUUGUGCCUCUUAGCUGACAGUCAGUCUGCUGCCCCCCACGCAGCCUUCUAUCCCUACUCUCUGCAGCUGCCUACAAGAUUCAAAGGAGAAAUGGAUGGAAAAUGGACUCAUUAAUUUGGCUGCAAGAGUUUUCAAUUAGUGUCACUUGAUUUUCAAAGCUCAGAAUGUACCACCUGGGAGCACAGAGGAAAACAUUACACUAAGUGGAUCAUUUCAGCAUGAACUGUUUGUACUCUGUGACUCCUAGGAGUUUUAUUCUUUCAACCCUUGCUUAACCCAUUCCGACCAGCUCUCAUUGACUCUGUAGCCGUAAGCCCUAAUACACGUCUCCUAUUCCUCGGGUUGCUUGGCCAUAUGGUAAUUGUAGACUUGUCUCUUGCGAGUGGAUGUAUUCCCUGGGUGCCCACUGUUCACACUAAUUAGGUCCCAUUGUUAUUUCCUAUAUCUGGAAGGAGAGUUCAUUGAAUUACAUUGUGUGCCUAAGGUUCCACAUAUAUGUGACCCCAAAGUCUGGACCUGUGGAGAGUACCAGCAAAUGUGUCCCUGCAUAGCCACGUAUUCCUCAGUAGUGGCUGGUUGAGUUUGUUGUGAUUACUGGCUGCAGAAGAAACAGGUAAUUACUUUCCUUUGGAAUUCUCUCCAUGCUCCUGCGGCCCUAUGUCACUGCUCCAGCCAAGUGCCAUCUCUUCGCCAGUCACCAGACUGCCAGCACUGAAUUCCUCAUGUGCUUUAAGCUUCUUGAGUCUCAACAGAGCCCAGACACUGCCCCAUCUUAGGGCUUGUGGCGGGACGUCUGCCCCACUCUGGCCCUUUAAGGGUAAAACCCAGCUAGGAGAGGGCUGAGAGCAAAUGCCACAGCUGAUGCAGAUACUGCCAAUUAGGGCCCAGCUGGAAACGGGGGCUCCAGGAAGAGAGAGAGACUCACUCUAGCUGGGGAGCAGGAGGGACCUGGCUGCUACGGAAGCUUGGAGGCUUCCCAAGGCAGGCAGGGCUGGGGAGCUCUGGCCUGACCUCACUCCCAGACUGCAGGGGGACAGCCAAGAUAGGAAAGGCAGCAGGUUCACACCCCCUUGCCCAUGACGAGCGGCCAUCUCAGACAGCAGUUUGCCCCAUGGCAGGGGCUAGAUAACCACUGGCAGUGGGUCACUGAGGCAAGGUGGGUGUGGGGGGAAUUGGGGGUUCCCUGGAGGGGAGGACCCCAGAGUGCAGGGACCAAUAAACACACACACACCCCAGAAGGGGGCCAAGAGACACUGGAGUGGGCACCGCUGGGCGGGCAGUGUCCUGAUGAGGACGCCGCAGUCUGGGAGAGACACAGAGCUGGAGCGUAGCGUGAGGACACGGAGAGACACCAGCCAGAGGGAGAUGCCCUGCAAACGAGGGGCCACAUGGUGCUGCAUAUAAUACACUGACACUUUGGGCAGAAGCAUAACACAUUGGUGCUCUUUACUUAGCCGUAAAAGAAACACAGAUCGGUACAAAAACAAUGAACCCUAAAACAGGCAUUUCCCUGCCUCGGUUUCCUCACCACUCCAGAACUUUUUUUUUGUGGGGGGGGAGGGGGUUGGAGCUGGGCCCUCUGGGGCCACCUACUGUCCAUCUGCUGCAGUGCACAGCUUGGGCUCAAACAUGAAACCUUCCUCCUGCAGCUCUGCUCCAACCCUGGCCAAUCCAUCCCUUACCCCGUCUCCUGUCCAAGCUUCCUGUGCCUCUCCUUUCAAGUCUUCCCUACUGUGGUUUUAAAAGCUAACAUCAACAGCGUGCUGUCCUGGGGAUUUUCCAUUCUCCCUAACAUGCGCCCUUGCAAAGGGACAGUAGAGAGAACU